UACGAAGGGGGCUAGCGUUGUUCGGAUUUACUGGGCGUAAAGCGCACGUAGGCGGCUUUCUAAGUCGGAGGUGAAAUCCUGGAGCUCAACUCCAGAACUGCCUUCGAUACUGGAGAGCUUGAGUCCGGAAGAGGUGAGUGGAACUGCGAGUGUAGAGGUGAAAUUCGUAGAUAUUCGCAAGAACACCAGUGGCGAAGGCGGCGAUCUGGGAAGAUACUGACGCUGAGGUGCGAAAGCGUGGGGAGCAAACAGGG
rnacentral:rRNA from 1 species